CCUACUGGUGGCAGCAGUGAGGAAUAUUGGUCAAUGGGCGCGAGCCUGAACCAGCCAAGUAGCGUGAAGGAUGACUGCCCUACGGGUUGUAAACUUCUUUUAUAAAGGAAUAAAGUGAUGCACGUGUGCCUUUUUGUAGGUACUUUAUGAAUAAGGAUCGGCUAACUCCGUGCCAGCAGCCGCGGUAAUACGGAGGAUCCGAGCGUUAUCCGGAUUUAUUGGGUUUAAAGGGAGCGUAGGUGGGUUUGUAAGUCAGUUGUGAAAGUUUGCGGCUCAACCGUAAAAUGGCAAUUGAUACUGGAAGUCUUGAGUACAGUAGAGGCAGGCGGAAUUCGUGGUGUAGCGGUGAAAUGCAUAGAUAUCACGAAGAACUCCGAUUGCGAAGGCAGCUUACUAAACUGCCACUGACAUUGAUGCUCGAAAGUGUGGGUAUCAAACAGGAUUAGAUACCCUUGUAGUC
rnacentral:rRNA from 1 species